AUUUUAAUCUUUAAAUUUUAAUUUGUAGAUACGACGUGACGUGCGUGGUAUUUUUCGAGGUCAUUCAAAUUAAUGUUCUAUUAAAUUAAGUUAAAUUACUACGCGCCACUAUAGUGGCUUCCGUGGAUAAUGAAUGGUGUCUACUCUAUGGUGUCUUACUAGUCGAAUAAAAAUUCUAUUGGUCUUGAUAAACAUUUCUUUUUUUCGCAGAAUCAUAAAAAUAUCCUAAAUAUCAUAAUUUCAUUAUUUUAAAUCAGUUAUCAUGAUAAUUAUAAUAUGGUAGUACCAAUGAAUGCUUCAAUAUAAUUUCAGUGAGGAGAUGGGAAAAGAUACGGGAGGUUCUGCAUUCCUCUCGAUCGGCAGUUUGAGGCCAAACGCAAACAUGCAUUUUAGUGUCGUAGACCAGACCAUCCUGGCAUUGAUACUUUCGAGGAAUUCCAAAAACGCAUCGGGACUAAAGUAUUGCUUAGAAAGUAAUUAUAAAAUAAAGGAAGAAGAGAAAAUGGAAUGGUGAAUCGAAAUGCAGGCGCCAUUUUGACAAAUGAUCCCGUCCGUCUUCUGGGAAUUUUUUUUUCAUUAAUUCAAUAAAUACAAAUCUAUUAUAAAAAUCUGUAAAUUCCAAUUAA